UACUUGGAUAACUGUGGUAAUUCUAGAGCUAAUACAUGCACCAAAGCUCCGACCGUAAGGGAAGAGCGCAUUUAUUAGAACAAAACCAAGCGGCUUCGGCCGUUCAGUGUUGACUCAGAAUAACUAAGCUGAUCGCAUGGUCUUGUACCGGCGACGUGUCUUUCAAGUAUCUGCCUUAUCAACUUUCGAUGGUAGUGUAUCUGACUACCAUGGUAGUGACGGGUAACGGAGGAUAAGGGUUCGACUCCGGAGAAGGGGCCUGAGAAAUGGCCACUACGUCUAAGGAUGGCAGCAGGCGCGCAAAUUACCCACUCUCAGAACGAGGAGGUAGUGACGAGAAAUAACAAGACCGUUCUCUUCAGAGGCCGGUCAUUGGAAUGGGUACAAUUUAAACCCUUUAACGAGUAUCUAUGAGAGGGCAAGUCUGGUGCCAGCAGCCGCGGUAAUUCCAGCUCUCAAAAUGCAUAGAAUCAUUGCUGCGGUUAAAAAGCUCGUAGUUGGAUCUGUGCUGACCUCCCGGUCUACCUUCGGGUGUGUACUGGUGGGGUUGGCUUUCUGUCGCUUUUGGGCUGGUGCCCUUCACUGGGUAUCAGAUUCCGAGUGGCAAGUUUACUUUGAACAAAUCAGAGUGCUUCAAACAGGCGUUUCGCUUGAAUGUUCGUGCAUGGAAUAAUAGAAGAGGAUUUCGGUUCUAUUUUAUUGGUUUUAUAGACUGAGAUAAUGGUUAACAGAGACAAACGGGGGCAUUCGUAUUGCUACGUGAGAGGUGAAAUUCUUGGACCGUAGCAAGACGAACUACAGCGAAAGC
rnacentral:rRNA from 1 species